rnacentral:rRNA from 1 species
UACCUAGGUCUCAAGCGUUGUUCGGAUUCAUUGGGCGUAAAGGGUGCGUAGGCGGCGCGGUAAGUCGGGUGUGAAAUCUUGGAGCUUAACUCCGAAACUGCAUUCGAUACUGCCGUGCUUGAGGACUGGAGAGGAGACUGGAAUUUACGGUGUAGCGGUGAAAUGCGUAGAUAUCGUAAGGAAGACCAGUGGCGAAGGCGGGUCUCUGGACAGUUCCUGACGCUGAGGCACGAAGGCCAGGGGAGCAAACGGG